rnacentral:rRNA from 1 species
CUACGGGGGGCAGCAGUGAGGAAUUUUGCGCAAUGGGGGAAACCCUGACGCAGCAACGCCGCGUGAGCGAAGAAGGCCUUCGGGUCGUAAAGCUCUGUCAAGUGGGAAAAAAAUUCUUUGAUGAACAGUCAAAGGACUUGAUGGUACCACUGGAGGAAGCACCGGCUAGGGCCGUGCCAGCAGCCGCGGUAAUACGGAGGGUGCAAGCGUUGUUCGGAAUUACUGGGCGUAAAGAGCGUGUAGGCGGUUUGACAAGUCAGAUGUGAAAGCCCCGGGCUCAACCCGGGAAGUGCAUUUGAAACUGUUUCACUAGAGUAUGGGAGAGGAGAUUGGAAUUCCUGGUGUAGAGGUGAAAUUCGUAGAUAUCAGGAGGAACACCCGUGGCGAAGGCGAUUCUCUGGACCAAUACUGACGCUGAGACGCGAAAGCGUGGGGAGCAAACAGGAUUAGAUACCCGCGUAGUC